UGGGGGAUAUUGCACAAUGGGGGAAGCCCUGAUGCAGCGACGCCGCGUGGGUGAAGGAGCGUUUCGGCGCGUAAAGCCCUAUCGGCAGGGAAGAAGACGACGGUACCUGACCAAGAAGCCCCGGCUAACUCCGUGCCAGCAGCCGCGGUAAUACGGAGGGUGCGAGCGUUAAUCGGAAUUACUGGGCGUAAAGCGCUCGUAGGUAGUAUAUCAAGUCAAGGGUGAAAUCCCCGCGCUCAACGUGGGAACUGCCUUUGAAACUGUUACACUUGAGUGUGUGAGAGGAUAGUGGAAUUCCAGGUGUAGGAGUGAAAUCCGUAGAUAUCUGGAGGAACAUCAGUGGCGAAGGCGACUAUCUGGCACAUAACUGACACUGAGGAGCGAAAGCGUGGGUAGCAAACAGGAUUAGAUACC
rnacentral:rRNA from 1 species